rnacentral:rRNA from 1 species
UACGGAGGAUCCGAGCGUUAUCCGGAUUUAUUGGGUUUAAAGGGAGCGUAGGUGGAUUGUUAAGUCAGCGGUAAAAGCCCGGGGCUCAACCCCGGCGAGCCGUUGAAACUGGCUGUCUUGAGAUGUCGAGAGGUAUGCGGAAUGCGCAGUGUAGCGGUGAAAUGCAUAGAUAUCACGCAGAACUCCGAUUGCGAAGGCAGCAUACCGGCGCUCAACUGACGCUCAUGCACGAAAGCGUGGGUAUCGAACAGG